AGAACGAACGCUGGCGGCGUGGAUAAGACAUGCAAGUCGAACGCGAUUUAUCAGGUUAGCAAUAACUUGGUAGAUUGAGUGGCGAAAGGGUGCGUAACACGUGGGAAUUUACCAAGAAGUGGGGAAUAGCUCGACGAAAGUCGAAUUAAUACCGCAUGUGAUCGAAAGAUCAAAGUCGGGGACCGCAAGGCCUGACGCUUUUUGAGAAGCCCGCGGCCCAUCAGCUAGUUGGUGAGGUAAUGGCUCACCAAGGCUAUGACGGGUAGCUGGUCUGAGAGGACGACCAGCCACACUGGAACUGAGACACGGUCCAGACACCUACGGGUGGCAGCAGUCGAGAAUUUUUCACAAUGGACGAAAGUCUGAUGGAGCGACGCCGCGUGGAGGAUGAAGGUUCUUGGAUUGUAAACUCCUGUCACUGCAGAACAAGGGUACGUUGGUAAUAGCCGACGUAUUUGAUGGUAUGCGGAGAGGAAGGGACGGCUAACUCUGGU
rnacentral:rRNA from 1 species